UUCGUGGACUCCAUCGCCAUUCCCCUCGUCGCCUGCUCUUCAGAUCCUUCCCUCCGCUCCUUUCAUGCCGAUCCUGCGCAUCGCAUCGCAGCGACCCUAGGGCUUUUACGCUCGCGAUUAUACGUAUUUGCUCCGACGUACGCCGAGCAGCUUCGUCGCGCUUCCUUGCGAGGCGCCAGAGAUUUCCUCCUCUUCUGUGCGUUGUUUUUUUCGAGGCGUCUUGAUUCUGUUUCAGUGAUUCGAAGAGGGAGAGCAUAUGAAAUUCUUGGAGAUCAGGACCAUUUUCGUCUUCUGGCUCGUUUUCGCCGGAUUGGGUUUCGCCAAUGGGGAGGAUGCCAAGAAGAACAAGUUUCGGGAGCGGGAGGCUACGGACGAUGCGCUCGGCUACCCCAAUCUAGAUGAAAAUGCGCUGCUGAAUACGCAGUGCCCUAGGAAUUUGGAGCUGAGAUGGCAGACGGAGGUUAGCUCUAGCAUAUAUGCCACCCCUUUGAUCGCUGAUAUCAACAGUGAUGGGAAGUUGGAUAUAGUGGUACCUUCUUUUGUUCACUACCUUGAAGUUUUAGAAGGCACUGAUGGAGACAAGAUGCCAGGAUGGCCUGCUUUCCACCAGUCAACCGUGCAUGCAAGUCCUCUCCUCUACGACAUUGACAAGGAUGGUGUGAGAGAGAUAGCAUUGGCCACCUACAAUGGUGAAGUGCUGUUUUUCAGGGUAUCAGGUUACAUGAUGGCAGAUAAGUUAGAGAUACCUCGCAGGAAAGUACGUAAAGAUUGGUAUGUUGGUUUAGAUUCAGAUCCAGUGGACCGUUCUCAUCCAGAUGUGCAUGAUGAGCAGCUUAUCCAGGAAGCUAGGGAGUCAAAAUUAUUUUCUCAAAACAAUGGGAGCACAACUAGAUCUAGUCCAUCAGUUCCCUCAACAUCGGAGAGUAACCUUGGCACGGUGAAUGCGACCAAGCCAGACAAUGAAUUGAAAUUGAAUGAAACUCAAGCAGAGACAAACAUUAAGCUGCCUACAAGCAUGGAUAACUCCACUAGCACCGAUAACUCAACUAGCACAACAGGAUCAACUCAGGCUUCUGAUUCAGCUCAUGGAACAAAUUCUGCCAGACGGCUUUUGGAAGACAUUAACUCUAAGGGAUCUCAGGAAGCUGCUUCUGAAUCCACUGUUAAUAACAACAAGGAUACUCAAGCUGCAACUGUCGAGAAUGAAGAAGGUCUAGAAGCUGACGCCGACUCGUCAUUUGACCUGUUUCGUGAUAGUGAUGAGCUUCCUGAUGAGUAUAGUUACGACUAUGAUGAUUAUGUUGAUGAAACUAUGUGGGGAGAUGAGGAAUGGACUGAAGCGCAACAUGAGAAAUUGGAAGACUAUGUAAACAUUGAUGCGCACAUUUUAUGCACUCCGGUCAUAGCAGACAUUGAUAACGAUGGGGUGUCAGAGAUGGUCGUCGCUGUCUCAUACUUUUUUGAUCAUGAGUACUAUGACAACCAGGAGCAUUUAAAGGACCUGGGUAAUAUCAGUAUUGGGAAAUAUGUGGCUGGUGGGAUCGUUGUUUUUAAUCUUGAUACAAAGCAAGUUAAAUGGACAACACCACUAGAUCUUAGCACAGACAGUGGGAACUUUCGUGCCUACAUAUAUUCUUCUCCUACGGUUGUUGAUUUGGAUGGUGAUGGAAAUUUGGACAUCCUGGUCGGGACUUCCUUUGGCCUCUUCUAUGUAUUGGACCAUCAAGGUAAAAUCAGAGAAAAAUUUCCCCUUGAGAUGGCUGAAAUUCAAGGAGCGGUAGUUGCAGCAGAUAUCAAUGAUGAUGGUAAAAUUGAACUUGUCACUACGGAUACUCAUGGAAAUGUUGCUGCCUGGACUGCACAAGGAGUAGAGAUUUGGGAAAAACAUCUUAAGAGCCAUAUUCCUCAGGGUCCAACCAUAGGUGAUGUUGAUGGCGAUGGGCACACUGAUGUUGUUGUUCCUACAAUAUCAGGGAACGUUUAUGUUCUUAGCGGCAAGGAUGGUUCAUUUGUCCGUCCAUAUCCUUAUAGGACUCAUGGAAGAAUUAUGAAUCAAGUUCUCCUUGUUGAUCUAAAUAAACGCAAAGAGAAGGAGAAGAAGGGACUUACUCUCGUUACUACAUCAUUUGAUGGUUAUCUAUAUCUUAUUGAUGGGCCCACCUCAUGCGCUGAUGUAGUUGACAUUGGUGAAAUUUCAUAUAGCAUGGCAUUAGCAGAUAAUGUCGAUGGUGGCGAUGAUUUGGAUCUCAUUGUGACAACUAUGAAUGGCAAUGUCUUUUGCUUCUCGACUCCCGCUCCUCAUCAUCCAUUGAAGGCAUGGAGAUCAGCAAAUCAAGGAAGAAACAAUGUUGCCAAUCGGUAUGACCGUGAAGGAGUCUAUGUCUCACAUUCCUCAAGAACUUUCCGUGAUGAGGAAGGCAAGAGCUUCUGGGUGGAGCUUGAAAUUGUCGAUAAACAUAGAUAUCCAUCUGGUUAUCAAGCACCUUACAAUGUCACGACGACCUUGUUGGUUCCUGGCAAUUACCAAGGAGAGCGAAGGAUAAGGCAAAACCAGACCUAUGAUCGCCCUGGAAAAUAUCGAAUAAAGCUACCAACUGUUGGAGUGAGGACAACCGGAACUGUCUUGGUGGAGAUGGUUGACAAGAAUGGACUUUACUUCUCAGAUGAGUUCUCUCUUACAUUUCAUAUGUACUACUACAAGCUGCUAAAGUGGCUUCUUGUCCUGCCUAUGCUCGCCAUGUUUGGUAUACUUGUCAUCCUUCGUCCUCAGGAAGCCAUGCCACUUCCAUCGUUUUCAAGAAACACCGACUUGUGAUAAAAUACCCUUUCAUCAAAUUUCAACCCAGUGCGAAGGCAGAUUGUAUACUUGGGAAGGAAGUCUGGUUAAAUCGAUGUUACGGUAGUAUCAAUUUUCUCCAGCGAGCUCUGACAAUACAUUGAAACAGAUACUGAUUCUGUCUAAAUAGAUUUAUAGUGUUUUGGAAAUAGGCGACACAGAAUCAAAAGCUGUAACAUGGGAGAUCUGAAGUUUUGGAUGAAAGGAUUCAGAGAGACUUGCCCUGUGGCUGAGAUGGCCAUAAGGUAAUGGCAAUAGCGAACAUCGUGCAAGCUUCCCUGAUUUAACUGAUGCAGUUAUUGAAUGCUUUGUGGGACUCUUUAUCAAGCAUGCAAAAGCUAUACCAUCUUACCACAGUGAAUUGAGAAGCUUUAUGACAUUCGUCUAAAAACGUGUUCAAGUUCAACUUAGAUUUAUAGUUACAACUAAGCAUGACGUAUAUUACAGUUUAGCAUCUUGCAGCUGGGCGAACAUGCCAAUAAAUCUACUUCGUAUAUGACUCUGAA